AUCAACGCUGGCGGCGUGCCUAACACAUGCAAGUCGAACGAGAAAGUGGAGCAAUCCAUGAGUACAGUGGCGAACGGGUGAGUAACACGUGACUAACCUGCCUUCGAGUGGGGGAUAACCUCGGGAAACCGGGGCUAAUACCGCAUAAGAUCCUAAGGGUGCAAUUCCCAUGGGACCAAAGGGGUAAGACGCUUGAAGAGGGGGUCGCGGCUGAUUAGCUAGUUGGUGAGGUAACGGCUCACCAAGGCGAAGAUCGGUAGCCGGCCUGAGAGGGCGCACGGCCACACUGGAACUGAAACACGGCCCAGACUCCUACGGGAGGCAGCAGUGGGGAAUUUUGCGCAAUGGGGGAAACCCUGACGCAGCAACGCCGCGUGGAGGAUGAAGCCCUUUGGGGCGUAAACUCCUUUCGAUCGGGACGAUUAUGACGGUACCGGAUGAAGAAGCACCGGCUAACUCUGUGCCAGCAGCCGCGGUAAUACAGAGGGUGCAAGCGUUGUUCGGAAUUAUUGGGCGUAAAGGGCGCGUAGGCGGUGCGGUAAGUCACCUGUGAAACCUCUGGGCUUAACUCAGAGCCUGCAGGCGAAACUGCCGUGCUUGAGUGUGGGAGAGGUGCGUGGAAUUCCUGGUGUAGCAGGUGAAAUGCGUAGAUAUCAGGGAGGAAUACCUGAUGGCGAGAGCAGGGCUACUGGCUGACAACUGACGCUGCAGGCAGCGAAAGCGUAGGGGAGCAAACAGGAUUAGAUACCCUGGUAGUCCUACGCCCUAAACGAUGAUCGACUGGUUGUUAGGGGGUUGACCACUCGCUAGUGACGAAGCUAACGCGAUGAAGUCAAUCCGCCUGGGGAGUACGGUCGCAAGGUGAAACUCAAAGGAAUUGACGGGGGACCCGCACAAGCGGUGGAGUAUGUGGAUUAAUUCGAUGCAACGCGAAAGAACCUUACCUAGGCCUCGAAUGCAGUGUACCGAGAGGCUCCAGAGAAUGGGCCUUUCCGAAAGGGAAUGCUGACACUAGGUGCUGCAUGGCUGUCGUCAGCUCGUGUCGUGAGAUGUUGGGUUAAGUCCCGCAACGAGCGCAACCCUUAUCAUUAGUUGCUACAUGGUCAAGUUGGGCACUCUAGUGAGACCUGCCCGGUGACAACCGGGAGGAGGGUGGGGAUGACGUCAAGUCCUCAUGGCCCUUAUGGGUAGGGCUUACACACGUGAUACAAUGGCGCGUGACAGAGGGAUUGCCGAAGGAGCGAAGCCUGGAGCCAAUCUCAAAAAGCCGUCGUAGUCCGGAUUGGCAGUCUGCAACUCGACUGCCAUGAAGUCGGAAUCGCUAGUAAUCGCGGAUCAGCAUGUCCACGGUGAAUACGUUCCCGGGCCUUGUACACACCGCCCGUCACACCAUGGGAGUUGGUUUUCACCAGAAGCCGGUGCGCUUAACCCGCAAGGGAUGGCAGCCGGACUACGGUGAGAGUCAGGACUGGGGUG
rnacentral:rRNA from 1 species